rnacentral:rRNA from 1 species
UACGUAGGGUGCGAGCGUUAAUCGGAAUUACUGGGCGUAAAGCGUGCGCAGGCGGUUUGUUAAGACAGGCGUGAAAUCCCCGGGCUCAACCUGGGAACGGCGCUUGUGACUGGCAGGCUAGAGUACGGCAGAAGGGGGUGGAAUUCCACGUGUAGCAGUGAAAUGCGUAGAGAUGUGGAGGAACACCGAUGGCGAAGGCAGCCCCCUGGGCCGAUACUGACGCUCAUGCACGAAAGCGUGGGGAGCAAACAGG